GGUCUGUAGCUCAGUGGUAGAGCACUUGCCUAACACGUGUGAGGCACUGGGCUCGAUUCUCAGUACCA
rnacentral:tRNA from 1 species